AGAGUUCGAUUCUGGCUCAGGAUGAACGCUGGCGGCGUGCCUAACACAUGCAAGUCGAGCGAUCUUCUUCGGAAGAGAGCGGCGGACGGGUGAGUAACGCGUGGGUAACCUGCCUCAUACACAUGGAUAACAUACCGAAAGGUAUGCUAAUACAAGAUGAUAUAAGAGAUUCGCAUGGAUUUCUUAUCAAAGCUCCGGCGGUAUGAGAUGGACCCGCGUCUGAUUAGCUAGUUGGUAAGGUAAUGGCUUACCAAGGCGACGAUCAGUAGCCGACCUGAGAGGGUGAUCGGCCACAUUGGAACUGAGACACGGUCCAA
rnacentral:rRNA from 1 species